rnacentral:rRNA from 1 species
GCUAGUAAUGGCAGGUCAGCAUACUGCCGUGAAUACGUUCCCGGGCCUUGUACACACCGCCCGUCACACCAUGAGAGUUGGGAAUACCCGAAGCCUGUGAGCUAACUAUAUGAGGCAGCAGUCGAAGGUAGAAUCAAUGAUUGGGGUGAAGUCGUAACAAGGUAAC